UUGUCCGGAUUUAUUGGGCGUAAAGAGUUCGUAGGUGGUUUGUUAAGUUUGAUGUUAAAGAUCGGGGCUCAACCUCGGGACAGCAUUGAAUACUGGCAGACUUGAGUAUGGUAGAGGCUAGUGGAAUUCCCAGUGUAGCGGUGAAAUGCGUAGAUAUUGGGAAGAACACCGGUGGCGUAGGCGACUAGCUGGGCCAUAACUGACGCUGAGGAACGAAAGCCAGGGGAGCGAAAGGGAUUAGAUACCCCUGUAGUCCUGGCCGUAAACGAUGGAUACUAGGCGUAUCGGGUAUCGACCCCUGAUGUGCCGCAGCUAACGCGAUAAGUAUCCCGCCUGAGUAGUACGGCCGCAAGGUUGAAACUCAAAGGAAUUGACGGGGGCCCGCACAAGCGGUGGAACAUGUGGUUUAAUUCGAAGCAACGCGAAGAACCUUACCAGGGCUUGACAUGGUAGGAACCUUUAGGAAACUAGAGGGUGCCCGCAAGGGAGCCUACACACAGGUGGUGCAUGGCUGACGUCAG
rnacentral:rRNA from 1 species